rnacentral:rRNA from 1 species
GAUGAACGCUGGCGGCGUGCCUAAUACAUGCAAGUCGAGCGAACGGACGAGAAGCUUGCUUCUCUGAUGUUAGCGGCGGACGGGUGAGUAACACGUGGAUAACCUACCUAUAAGACUGGGAUAACUUCGGGAAACCGUAGCUAAUACCGGAUAAUAUUUUGAACCGCAUGGUUCAAAAGUGAAAGACGGUCUUGCUGUCACUUAUAGAUGGAUCCGCGCUGCAUUAGCUAGUUGGUAAGGUAACGGCUUACCAAGGCAACGAUGCAUAGCCGACCUGAGAGGGUGAUCGGCCACACUGGAACUGAGACACGGUCCAGACUCCUACGGGAGGCAACAGUAGGGAAUCUUCCGCAAUGGGCGAAAGCCUGACGGAGCAACGCCGCGUGAGUGAUGAAGGUCUUCGGAUCGUAAAACUCUGUUAUUAGGGAAGAACAAAUGUGUAAGUAACUGUGCACAUCUUGACGGUACCUAAUCAGAAAGCCACGGCUAACUACGUG